rnacentral:rRNA from 1 species
GUGGGGUAAUAUUGCACAAUGGGGGAAACCCUGAUGCAGCGACGCCGCGUGGAGGAAGAAGGUCUUCGGAUUGUAAACUCCUGUUGUUGAGGAAGAUAAUGACGGUACUCAACAAGGAAGUGACGGCUAACUACGUGCCAGCAGCCGCGGUAAAACGUAGGUCACAAGCGUUGUCCGGAAUUACUGGGUGUAAAGGGAGCGCAGGCGGGAGAACAAGUUGGAAGUGAAAUCCAUGGGCUCAACCCAUGAACUGCUUUCAAAACUGUUUUCUUGAGUAGUGCAGAGGUAGGCGGAAUUCCCGGUGUAGCGGUGGAAUGCGUAGAUAUCGGGAGGAACACCAGUGGCGAAGGCGGCCUACUGGGCACCAACUGACGCUGAGGCUCGAAAGUGUGGGUAGC